GCAUAAUAAAUAGGUUUUUAAUUGGAAUCUGGAAUGAAAGGUUAAAACUAAGAAGAUUGUUUUAUUUAAUUACUUUGAAUUUAAAUUAAAAGUAAAAAUGCUUUUAUUAAUUUCUGGGACGAGAAGACCCUAGAAGCUUUUAGAAUUAUACAGAAUUUUUAGUUGGGGUAAUUGGUGAAGAUAUAAAUUUUUAAAUAGAAAUAAGAUAAGUGAAUUUUAAGUUACUCUAGGGAUAACAGCAUUAUUUAAUUAACAAGUUCUUAUUAAUAAUUAAGUUUGUGACCUCGAUGUUGAAUUAAUU
rnacentral:rRNA from 1 species